rnacentral:rRNA from 1 species
CACUCCUACGGGAGGCAGCAGUGGGGAAUAUUGCACAAUGGGCGCAAGCCUGAUGCAGCGACGCCGCGUGGGGGAUGAAGGCCUUCGGGUUGUAAACUCCUUUCGCUAGGGACGAAGCUUUUUUGUGACGGUACCUAGAUAAGAAGCACCGGCUAACUACGUGCCAGCAGCCGCGGUAAUACGUAGGGUGCGAGCGUUGUCCGGAAUUACUGGGCGUAAAGGGCUCGUAGGUGGUUUGUCGCGUCGUCUGUGAAAUUCUGGGGCUUAACUCCGGGCGUGCAGGCGAUACGGGCAUAACUUGAGUGCUGUAGGGGUAACUGGAAUUCCUGGUGUAGCGGUGAAAUGCGCAGAUAUCAGGAGGAACACCGAUGGCGAAGGCAGGUUACUGGGCAGUUACUGACGCUGAGGAGCGAAAGCAUGGGUAGCGAACAGGAUUAGAAACCCCUGUAGUCCCAUG